CAAAUAAACCUCUUUUCUGGAUAAAUUACCCAGCCUCAGGUGCCUCUGCAAAAGAGGCACAGUAGAUAAUGCGCCACAAGGUCUGAGCACACACAAUGCAUCAAGGGGCUUUUAACUCCUGAGCACUGCAGACCCAGAGCAAUCGGAAUUACUCCAUAUUCUGAGAACAUAGGCAGAGCCUGUGGCGUUGGUUAUCACUGCCCUGCAAGACUUUCCUGUCCUGCAAGCUCCCAUCUGCAAAGACCGUCCUGUGUCUUGUGAGCAGAGGUCGCAUUCCCGCUCAGAGUUCCUGCACAAGCCCUCUUUACGAGCCCCUCAUGCAGACCCUAUGUUGGGAAGAGAUCGUGGGACCAAAGCCGUCUUUGCCGCCUCCCAACCCCACUGCAGCGUUCGCGGUUUAAAGUGCUCUCAGACGGUCUUCACUAGAGGCCUCCUGUUACCACUUGAUCUCUGCUUUUAUUUCACUGCACCAUAGUUUGGAGUUUUCUUAAUUCACUAUUUGAUCCGGGGCACAAAUCUCAGUGUAUAAAAAGCAAAGCAAGCUUGUAAUCAUUUAUGAGUAACACAGAUCUGCCCCGGCCAUCUUUUCCUACAACCCAGGACACAAACUUGCUCACUAUCCAACAGACCCCAAUGAAACCCAGGCCGGCCAUGAGCUGAAACAGCCCAUGACCCUCACCAGGCUUUAAGAGGUCAUCUGUUGCUGUUAGUUAAUAUCUCAAUGAAAAAAAUAAAGCAACAAAAACCUAAACUGAGAGCAAAGCUGGCACUCAGAAUCAGUGAAGCUGAAGUUGCCAAAUCUUAAUUAAGGAUGCUCUGUCCCUCAGGAUGCCAUUAUCUCAAGGGGUGCAAAACUCUUGAAACCCAAUUUCGUAUCAUCCAUUUUCAUUUUGUAAACAGAAAAUCAAAUACCCAAUAACUUAGGGCUUUAUGAUAUCAUUUCCCGGGCUGGGUGGGAGAGUUGUACCUUGCAAUUAAACAGUGAUGAGACAUUAAAAAUACUGUCCCU